CCAUCUACGUUGAACGGAAGAAGUAGCGGCUUUGGGAAAUCAGAGAGCUCCCGGAGGGUGCAAGGGAGUCAGAAAAAGCAGUGAAAAGUCGUCCGGAAGUUGAUUUUCUGAAUUUAAGUAGGAAGAUCCGAAUGCCGUCGUUACCGGUGAAAGCGCAUCUUUGAAGAAAGAUGAAGUAAGGUGGUACCGCGCGUGAAGCGUCCUUGUU
rnacentral:ncRNA from 1 species